rnacentral:rRNA from 1 species
UUGGGGUGCUCGAGUGGCAACGGGUGAGUAACACGUGAGUAACCUGCCCUUGACUUUGGGAUAACUUCAGGAAACUGGGGCUAAUACCGGAUAGGAGCUCCUGCUGCAUGGUGGGGGUUGGAAAGUUUCGGCGGUUGGGGAUGGACUCGCGGCUUAUCAGCUUGUUGGUGGGGUAGUGGCUUACCAAGGCUUUGACGGGUAGCCGGCCUGAGAGGUGACCGCCACAUUGGACUGAGAUACGGCCCAG